UGCUGUCAGUGACCCCGUCACCCGCCAGUCUCACCAGGACUGGGUGAGGUCUAUGGUGAACCUUGCAGCGCCUCUGCCCAGGUCAAGAAAAGACGUCCAAGCUGCCAGGGACUUCAGAGAAAGCAACUGGAGCGCUACUCACGCCGGGCAGCAGUGGAAGGAGGCGGGAGGCUCCUCAUCGCGACAGUCAGAUCACAAGUGUGUGCAUGAGUACUACAUCAACUCACGACUGUUCCCGGUGCCGCUGUACACGGACGACGAGGGACGCAGCCGAUGUCCCGUCUGCCUGGCUGUGGGGCCGUCACCGAAGGGCGCGCCACGCCGCGGCCGCUCACAGUCGCCCGGCGCCACCAGAGCCGGGCGGCCCCGCUCCCGCUCCCCCGUGGCUCCCCGGGCGAGCCGCUCACGUGCCAGCUCUAAUGAGGUGUUUAGAGACGCGCGCUCGCGCUGCUCCUCCGCCACGUCCACCAGGGCGGUGCGGUC